AUGUCUCCUCCAGAGCCUCCAGUACCAGAAGGAGACAAGAAGAAGGAAAGAGUCGCAGUCGGUACUCCUUUCACCUGGAUUGCAUGGCACUUUGGGCAUUGUCCUGAGGAUGCUACCAAUGAAGUGGUCCAGACAUAUGCUUGUGUCUACAUGUGGUACGCUAUCUCCAGGACUCUGUUUGCUGACACCACAUGCAAGAAUGCUCCAUGGAUGUGGCUGAAGGCGUUGACCGUCUUCGAUAGCAAAUGGAGUUGGGGUUCAGCGGCACUGGCUUACUUAUAUAGACAAGUAGUCAGUUGUUUGUUUUCACUUCAUUGUUACAUUAUCAAUGCGAUCUUCCUCGCAGCCUUCUCCCACCACCCCGCCAUCUCACCAUCGUCAUCCUUCUCCUCCACCCCCUUCAUUGUUGGUUUGUUGGGUUGA
rnacentral:rRNA from 1 species